AACGUAGGAGACGAACGUUAUCCGGAGUUACUGGGCGUAAAGGGCGUGUAGGCGGUUUGUUAAGUCUGGCGUGAAAGCUCUCGGCUAAACCGGGAGAGGUCGUUGGAUACUGGCGAACUAGAGGAUGGUAGAGGCGUGUGGAAUUCCGGGUGUAGUGGUGAAAUGCGUAGAGAUCCGGAGGAACACCAGUGGCGAAGGCGGCUUUCUGGGCAUUUCCUGACGCUGAGACGCGAAAGCGUGGGGAGCGAACCGG
rnacentral:rRNA from 1 species